rnacentral:ncRNA from 1 species
AUAAUGAUACAGGACCUCUAAAAAACUUGUAAUUGGAAUGAGUACAUUUUAAACCGCUUGAUGAGGAGCAAUUGGAAGGCAAGUCUGGUGCCAGCAGCUGCGGUAAUUCCAGCUUAAA